rnacentral:tRNA from 1 species
GCGGGCGUGGCGAAACUGGUAGACGCGCGAGAUUUAGGUUCUCGUGACUCACGUCGUGGGGGUUCAAGUCCCUCCGCCCGCACCA